AAAUAAUCCAGGAUCUUUUAUGACAGUGAGUAACUUUCAUACUAUUUUAGGAAGAA
rnacentral:tRNA from 1 species